rnacentral:rRNA from 1 species
UACGAAGGGGGCUAGCGUUGCUCGGAAUCACUGGGCGUAAAGCGCACGUAGGCGGAUCUUUAAGUCAGGGGUGAAAUCCUGGAGCUCAACUCCAGAACUGCCUUUGAUACUGAGGAUCUUGAGUCCGGGAGAGGUGAGUGGAACUCCGAGUGUAGAGGUGAAAUUCGUAGAUAUUCGGAAGAACACCAGUGGCGAAGGCGGCUCACUGGCUCGGUACUGACGCUGAGGUGCGAAAGCGUGGGGAGCAAACAGG